AGAUUGAACGCUGGCGGCAGGCCUAACACAUGCAAGUCGAGCGGUAGAGAGGUGCUUGCACCUCUUGAGAGCGGCGGACGGGUGAGUAAUGCCUAGGAAUCUGCCUAGUGGUGGGGGAUAACGUUCGGAAACGGACGCUAAUACCGCAUACGUCCUACGGGAGAAAGCGGGGGACCUUCGGGCCUCGCGCCAUUAGAUGAGCCUAGGUCGGAUUAGCUAGUUGGUGAGGUAAUGGCUCACCAAGGCGACGAUCCGUAACUGGUCUGAGAGGAUGAUCAGACACACUGGAACUGAGACACGGUCCAGACUCCUACGGGAGCAGCAGUGGGGAAUAUUGGACAAUGGGCGAAAGCCUGAUCCAGCCAUGCCGCGUGUGUGAAGAGGUCUUCGGAUUGUAAAGC
rnacentral:rRNA from 1 species